GCAGACUGCCAGUGACUGUGACCAUGACC
rnacentral:piRNA from 1 species